rnacentral:rRNA from 1 species
UCAGGAUGAACGCUAGCGGCAGGCUUAACACAUGCAAGUCGAGGGGCAUCGGGAGUAGCAAUACUGCCGGCGACCGGCGCAAGGGUGCGUAACGCGUGAGCAACAUGCCCGUAUCAGGGGGAUAAUCCAUGGAAACGUGGUCUAAUACCCCAUAGUAAUUAUGUAAGGCAUCUUAUAUAAUUUAAAGCUUUGGUGGAUACGGAUUGGCUCGCGUGACAUUAGCUGGAUGGUAAGGUAACGGCUUACCAUGGCUACGAUGUCUAGGGGUUCUGAGAGGAAGGUCCCCCACACUGGAACUGAGACACGGUCCAGACUCCUACGGGAGGCAGCAGUGAGGAAUAUUGGACAAUGGAUGGAAAUCUGAUCCAGCCAUGCCGCGUGCAGGAAGACGGCCCUAUGGGUUGUAAACUGCUUUGUAUGGGAGCAAUAAGGGCUACGUGUAGUCCGAUGAGAGUACCAUACGAAUAAGCACCGGCUAACUCCGUGCCAGCCGCCGC